rnacentral:lncRNA from 1 species
CAUUAUAAACAAUUCCAGCAGCCAUACCUAGCAUGAAGAUGUGGAAUGGAAACCUUCUCAAUAACACUGCCGAAGAUGACAGCCUCCCGCAAGGUGCAUGUCCUUGACUGGAUAAGAAAAUAGACAUUUCAGAAAGCACAGGAUAAGCAUCAUAUAUAUACAAAGAGAUACACAGAGGAUAAGACCAUAUUAAAUGCACUUGCCCUGACAAUAUGAAAAGCACAUCGGAGUAUCUGAGAACAAGAAAAUAGACAUUCAGAAAGCACAGAAUAAGCAUCAUACAGAUAUAUACAAAGAGAUACUACAGAGGAUAGAACCAUAUAAAAUGCACUUGUCCUGACAAUGUGAAAAGCACAUUAGAGUAUC